UGCUUUCUUACAGAGUCCAGGACCACCUGACCACCUGCCGAGAGGUGGCACAGCCUCCAGUGAGGUGGGUCCUUCCAGUAUCACUCCUCAGUCAAGAAAAUGCACCACAGGCUUGUUCCCAAGGCAAUCUGGUGGGGGCACUUUCUCAAUUAAUGUGUCAAGUUGACAGAAAACCAGCCAAUAAAUGAUAGCAGCACACACCUUUAAUCCCAGCACUCAGGAGGCAGAGAUGGGAGUUUGAUGCUAACCUGGU
rnacentral:lncRNA from 1 species